rnacentral:rRNA from 1 species
AGUGAACGCUGGCGGCAUGCCUAACACAUGCAAGUCGAGCGGCAGCGGGUCCUUCGUGAUGCCUGCUCGCGGCGGGCGGGGGUGGAAUGCAUGGGAAUCUGCCCUGUCGGGGGGGGUAACCUAUUGAAACAUAGGCGAAUACUGCAUACUACCCGCUCGUGAAAGCGGGUGGGCGCAAGACCUCUCGCGAGAGGGGGAGCGGACGUGCGAUUAGCUAGUUGGGGGGGUAAAGGCCCACCAAGGCGACGAUCGGUGGCUGGUCGGAGAGGAUGAGUGGCCACACUGGAACUGAGACAGGGACCAGACUCCUACGGGAGGCAGCAGUGGGGAAUAUUGGACAAUGGGCGCAAGUAUGAUACAGUGAUGCCGCGUGGGUGAAGAAGGCCUUCGGUUUGUAAAGACCUUUUGUCCGGGAAGAACCCGUCUGGGCUAAUACCCCGGGCGGAUGACGGUAACGGAAGAAGAAGCACCGGCUAACUUCGUG